CAGGACUCGAAAGACUCCCGUAACCCCUGUGAACAUACCUAUAUUCGUUGCCUCGGCGGGUGCUCCGGUUCGUCCGGGGCGCUACGCCCGCCGGUGGCCCAAUACUCUGUCUCGCGCGUUGGCAUCUCCGAGUACAUACAAAUAAGUUAAAACUUUCAACAACGGAUCUCUUGGUUCUGGCAUCGAUGAAGAACGCAGCGAAAUGCGAUAAGUAAUGUGAAUUGCAGAAUUCAGUGAAUCAUCGAAUCUUUGAACGCACAUUGCGCCCGCCGGUAUCCCGGCGGGCAUGCCUGUUCGAGCGUCAUUACAACCCUCAGGCCCUGCCUGGCGUUGGGGCCCUGCGCUGCAGGCCUCUAAAGACAGCGGCGGGUGCGUCCCACAACCGAACGCAGUAGUUACUUCUCGUUCCGGGUGUAGGCGUACGCUUGCCGUAAAACCCCCAAUUUUACAAGG
rnacentral:misc_RNA from 1 species